GACGAACGCUGGCGGCGUGCUUAACACAUGCAAGUCGAACGGAAAGGCUCCAGCUUGCUGGAGUCCUCGAGUGGCGAACGGGUGAGUAACACGUGGGUAAUCUGCCCUGCACUCUGGGAUAAGCCUGGGAAACUGGGUCUAAUACUGGAUAUGACCUUUCUCCUUAUGGGGUUUGGUGGAAAGUUUUUCGGUGUAGGAUGAGCCCGCGGCCUAUCAGCUUGUUGGUGGGGUGAUGGCCUACCAAGGCGACGACGGGUAGCCGGCCUAAGAGGGUGAUCGGCCACAAUGGUACUGAGAUACGGACCAGACUCCUACGGGGGGCAGCAGUGGGGAAUAUUGCACAAUGGGCGGAAGCCUGAUGCAGCGACGCCGCGUGAGGGAUGACGGCCUUCGGGGUGUAAACCUCUUUCAGCAGGGACGAAGCGUAAGUGACGGUACCUGCAGAAGAAGCACCGGCUAACUAUGUG
rnacentral:rRNA from 1 species